GAGACACAAUCCACCUGGCCCAUACUCAAGUGGAGCAAUGAUGGAAGCUACUUUGGGAGGAUUACCCCAGAUACUCUCAGUGUUUAUGAAACACCAUCAAUGGGGUUGCUUGAGAAGAAAAGUUUGAAAAUUACUGGACUGAGGGACUUUUCCUGGUCUCCCUCUGACAACAUCAUAGCCUACUGGGUGCCUGAACAGCAGAACGUACCAGCUAGAGUCACUCUCAUCCAGAUGCCUAGUCGCCAGGAACUGUGUAUCAAAAAUCUCUUCAAUGUCGCUGACUGCAAGAUGCACUGGCAAAAGAAUGGGGACUACUUGUGUGUCAAAGUCGAUCGCUACUCCAAGGCCAAGAAGAUUGAUGAGAAAGACCAGUUUAAGUACAGUGGUCUUUAUUACAAUUUCGAGCUGUUUAGAAUUCGAGAAAAGCAGAUUCCAGUGGAUAAGGUAGAAGUCAAAGAAAAUGUGAUUGCAUUUGCCUGGGAGCCUGUUGGCAGUCGAUUUGCAUUUAUACAUGGAGAAUCCCCCAGGAUUUCAGUUUCAUUUUACCAGAUCAGACCAGGGAAAGUGGAAACUAUCAAAACUCUGGAAAGAAAACAAGCAAACCACCUGUUCUGGAGUCCCGCUGGACAGUUUAUUGUUCUAGCAGGAUUACGCAACAUGAAUGGAGUGCUGGAGUUUGUGGAUGCCUCUGACGUGACUGUGAUGGCUCAGACUGAGCACUUCAUGGCUACAGACGUUGAGUGGGACUCCACAGGCAGAUACGUGGUGUCCGCCGUCAGCUGGUGGGGACACAAGGUUGACAAUGGCUACUGGAUCUGGUCUUUCCAAGGGCGUCUGCUGCAGAAAAUUCAACUGGAGCGAUUCUGUCAGUUGUUAUGGCGACCACGCCCUCCCUCCUUGUUGUCUAUAGAACAGAUGCGCGCCAUUAAGAAGAACAUGAAGAAAUACACUGAGCAGUUCGAGGUCAUGGACAGACUUAGACAAUCCAAUGUUUCUACUGAAAUUCUUGAGAAGAGAAGUGAAAUGAUGAAUGAGUACAAGAGCUUCAGAGAACGAGCCACUGAAGAGUGGGAGAGUAUGAAAUACAGGAGAUUAGAACUCAGAGACGGGGUGGAUACGGACACGUUGGAGUACGAGGAGAACGACGAGGAGAUUGUAGAGUUUUUGCUUAAAGUCGAAGAAGUCGUGGUGGAAGAGUAAACCCCAGAAAGAUUGUCGUUAUUUUUACCGCUGUCAGCCGAUUAACAGCCAUCUUGAAAGUUGGGAAAAGUGCCGUAAUAUCAACUAUCUGAUUUGUAUUAUAAUUAUUGUACAGGAAUAAUAAAAUUGACAUUACGGAUAACGGCCUGCUGUCGUAAAGAUGGCAGGUUUUACUUGUAGAUAUUUUUAUUGUUGCAAAGUGCUGCCUGUUUAUGUGCUAUAUACAUUGUAUUUAGUGGUCUGUAUGCAAUUUUUUGUCCCGCUUUCUAUUUUAUUUGGACAUUUUUCUGGGUAUUUUCCUUUCCCUUUUCGGUUACAUUUGAAAAACAAUAGUAUUUAUAUCAAAUUAUGCCAUUUUGUGUGUCGCACUACGAUCUGUCAGGUAUUUAUCUUAAUAAAGCAUGGUUUACAUUU
rnacentral:misc_RNA from 1 species